rnacentral:rRNA from 1 species
CUACGUGCCAGCAGCCGCGGUAAUACGGAGGAUGCGAGCGUUAUCCGGAUUUAUUGGGUUUAAAGGGUGCGUAGGCGGCCUGUUAAGUCAGCGGUGAAAUCUAGGAGCUUAACUCCUAAAUUGCCAUUGAUACUGGCGGGCUUGAGUGUAGAUGAGGUAGGCGGAAUGCGUGGUGUAGCGGUGGAAUGCAUAGAUAUCACGCAGAACUCCGAUUGCGAAGGCAGCUUACUAAGGUACAACUGACGCUGAAGCACGAAAGCGUGGGUAUCAAACAGGAUUAGAUACCCUGGUAGUCCACGCAGUAAACGAUGAUAACUGGGCGUAUGCGAUAUACAGUAUGCUCCUAAGCGAAAGCAUUAAGCAUCCCACCUGGGGAGUACGCCGGCAACGGUGAAACUCAAAGGAAUUGACGGGGGCCCGCACAAGCGGAGGAACACGUGGUUUAAUUCGAUGAUACGCGAGGAACCUUACCCGGGCUUGAAUUGCAGAGGAAGGAUUUAGAGAUA